AACGCUAGCUACAGGCUUAACACAUGCAAGUCGAGGGGCAGCAUUUUAGUUUGCUUGCAAACUGAAGAUGGCGACCGGCGCACGGGUGAGUAACACGUAUCCAACCUGCCGAUAACUCUGGAAUAGCCUUUCGAAAGAAAGAUUAAUACCGGAUGGCAUACGAAUAUCGCAUGAUAUUUUUAUUAAAGAAUUUCGGUUAUCGAUGGGGAUGCGUUCCAUUAGUUUGUUGGCGGGGUAACGGCCCACCAAGACAACGAUGGAUAGGGGUUCUGAGAGGAAGGUCCCCCACAUUGGAACUGAGACACGGUCCAAACUCCUACGGGAGGCAGCAGUGAGGAAUAUUGGUCAAUGGGCGAGAGCCUGAACCAGCCAAGUAGCGUGAAGGAUGAAGGCUCUAUGGGUCGUAAACUUCUUUUAUAUGGGAAUAAAGUUUUCCACGUGUGGAAUUUUGUAUGUACCAUAUGAAUAAGGAUCGGCUAACUCCGUGCCAGCAGCCGCGGUAAUACGGAGGAUCCGAGCGUUAUCCGGAUUUAUUGGGUUUAAAGGGAGCGUAGGUGGAUUGUUAAGUCAGUUGUGAAAGUUUGCGGCUCAACCGUAGAAUUGCAGUUGAAACUGGCAGUCUUGAGUACAGUAGAGGUGGGCGGAAUUCGUGGUGUAGCGGUGAAAUGCUUAGAUAUCACGAAGAACUCCGAUUG
rnacentral:rRNA from 1 species